GGCGAUGCAUGCCUGCAUGAAAAGUAUUUGUGGUGAUUAUCAAAUUUUUGAAUAGACAUAUUAUACAGUCCUAGAUAUAGAUAAGAUAAAUAAAAAGAAUAUUAAGAUGCAAACGAACUGUGGAAAGAGUCUGCUUCCUACGACAGACAUUAAAACAUAUUUAAUACUAGAGAAGUCACCUAAUGAUUCUAGAUCAAUCUGGAAAAAUAAGCAUGAACUCAUUUGUUCCUAUUCUCAAAAACAAUACAGGAAAGCUUUAAAUGGAACGCUUAGGAUUUAGACAAAUAAAUGCAGACCU
rnacentral:misc_RNA from 1 species